rfam:Triticum aestivum genome assembly, contig: Triticum_aestivum_CS42_TGACv1_scaffold_580032_7BL
CAUGUACUCCCUCCGUCCCAAAAUUCUUGUCUUAGAUUUGUCUAAAUACGGAUGUAUCAAGUCACAUUUUAGUAUUAGGUACAUCCGUAUCUUGACAAAUCUAAGACAAGAAUUUUGGGACGGAGGGAGUAUUUA